rnacentral:rRNA from 1 species
UACGUAGGUGGCAAGCGUUGUCCGGAUUUACUGGGUGUAAAGGGCGUGUAGCCGGGCUGACAAGUCAGAUGUGAAAUCCGGGGGCUCAACCCCCGAACUGCAUUUGAAACUGUUGGUCUUGAGUAUCGGAGAGGCAGGCGGAAUUCCUAGUGUAGCGGUGAAAUGCGUAGAUAUUAGGAGGAACACCAGUGGCGAAGGCGGCCUGCUGGACGACAACUGACACUGAGGCUCGAAAGCGUGGGGAGCAAACAGG